GAUGAACGCUGGCGGCGUGCCUAAUACAUGCAAGUCGAACGAGGUGCUUUUGUAGCAGUACGAUAGUAUCCUGGUGGCGAACGGGGGAGUAAGUCGGUGGUGACCUACCCCCAUGUGUGGAAUAACAGUCCGCAAGGAUUGCUACUACCGCGUAUCGUUAGCGGGUUUAGAAGCUGAUGACUAAAUGAGCAAUUCGCGUUGGGAGGGACCUGCGUCCCAUCAGCUAGUUGGUGAGGGAAUGCCAAACCAAGGGUAGGUCGGGUAGGGGACCGGGGAGGGUGACCACCCAGGAUGGAACUGACACACGGGCCAUACACGUGCGGGUGGAGGCAGUAGGGAAUAUUGAAGAAUGGGCGAAAGCCGGAGGAAGCAACGGUGCGUGAAGGAGGCAGGCGGUCGGGUCGUAAAGUGCUUUUGUGGGGGAUGGGAAAUGACAGUAACCGAGGAAUAAGUCCCGGCUAACUACGUG
rnacentral:rRNA from 1 species